rnacentral:rRNA from 1 species
GCAGUCGAACGGAUCCUUCGGGAUUAGUGGCGGACGGGUGAGUAACACGUGGGAACGUGCCCUUUGGUUCGGAACAACUCAGGGAAACUUGAGCUAAUACCGGAUGUGCCCUUCGGGGGAAAGAUUUAUCGCCAUUGGAGCGGCCCGCGUAGGAUUAGCUAGUUGGUGGGGUAAAGGCCCACCAAGGCGACGAUCCUUAGCUGGUCUGAGAGGAUGAUCAGCCACAUUGGGACUGAGACACGGCCCAAACUCCUACGGGAGGCAGCAGUGGGGAAUCUUGCGCAAUGGGCGAAAGCCUGACGCAGCCAUGCCGCGUGAAUGAUGAAGGUCUUAGGAUUGUAAAAUUCUUUCACCGGGGACGAUAAUGACGGUACCCGGAGAAGAAGCCCCGGCUAACUUCGUGCCAGCAGCCGCGGUAAUACGAAGGGGGCUAGCGUUGCUCGGAAUUACUGGGCGUAAAGGGAGCGUAGGCGGACUGUUUAGUCAGAGGUGAAAGCCCAGGGCUCAACCUUGGAAUUGCCUUUGAUACUGGCAGUCUUGAGUACGGAAGAGGUAUGUGGAACUCCGAGUGUAGAGGUGAAAUUCGUAGAUAUUCGGAAGAACACCA